GGGCAGCGCUCGCGCAUUGUUGUGAUUGUUUGUUCGCGAAACAGUGUACGCGAAGAUAUACCUUUCGUCGCCGUCGUAGUCGUCGGUCGCAACAACAGCAGCAGUAGCAGUAGCCGGGUGUACACGCGUGUGCAAUUUGCUCUACGGAAAUACAGAAAGUGAGCAAGACAAGUGCAGUAGUGCUUGCGACAGUGUAAUAUUAUUUUGCACAACUUCGUAGCCGUCGCAUUUUUCUGCCGGAACUCAAGUUACCGCAUUACCGUUGCGAGAGGCAGCCGGUGAAAAAGUGUGUAAAAUUUUCAAUCGGUUUUGUGUCUGUGUGUGUGUGUGUGUGUGUGUGUGAGUGUGUUUGAGCAAAAGUAGGUUAUUCCGUCGUCGAAGCGGCUAAAACGGAAGCAAAAACACCGGGUGUGAUUAGUAACGCCACCGCGGACGACGGGCUGCCGGGGGUUUGCAGCUGUUUGUCUCAUCAGCGCAGUGUGUGAGUGUGUGUCCGGGUCCGGGUGUGAAAGGAAGAGAAAGAGAUCGAACGGCGCGGCGCGGUUGAAAUAGCACUGAACAAGGAACGUGGAAGAGCAAGCAGUUUUUGAAAGCGAUCGCUGCAGAAGAAUCUUCAUAAAUGGACUGAAAAGAGAAAGAGAAAGAUAGCAACCGACCGUUACGUCCGAGAACAAACUGAUCCUGCGACAGCAUCCAGUGCUAGGAAUCAAAAACUCCGAUCUCAAACACACCACCAUGCCGGUUGCAUUGAACGGAUCCGUACCGUUGCCCUCGGUGCGGGUUUACACCAGCGUCACGGUACUGCUGAUGUCCGCCUGCCUCUACUACGCACUGGCCAUGACCAGUGAUCCAAACUGGAGGCAACACACAAACAUCACCAGCAGCACGACGGGCGGAACGGUACCCACGGCGGGUGGAACGGCGUCCACAGCAGCAAACACAGCCACCAGCGCCGCCAGCUCCGCCGCCGGACCGGCCGGUGUGAUCGACGGUGCGGUAGAGGGUGCCGGGGGUAAGCUGGGAGAGGUAGGAGGCGCCAGUGCCGCCUCCUUGCUGUCGGUGAAGGAGAUCGACACGCUCGAGGAGAAGAUAUUAGCGGCCGCCGAUCUGUCCGACCUGCGCCAAAUGCUGCAAGGUGGCGGCAGCGAUGCACCAGACGAGGACGACUCCCGAGAAGUGGACGAAGGGGACGAGCGGUGGCUGGUGGUGGGCAACGAUACGCGAUCGCUCGGAGCGUACCUGAAGGAUACGGCAUCGUUUAUGGCGACGGAACCAUUUUGCAUUUGGACGUUAAUCAACACCGCGUACUGCUGCCUGAUACUGCUCGGCAAAUCGAUACAGAAGUUCGUCUUCGGUGAGCUGCGGAUAUCCGAACAGCAGCACAUGAAGGACAAGUUUUGGAACUUUAUCUUCUACAAGUUUAUCUUCGUCUUUGGCGUCGUGAAUGUGCAGUAUUUGUACGAGGUCAUACUGUGGGUGUCGUGGUUCUCGGCACUCGGAUUCCUACACCUGCUGUCACAGCUCAGCAAAGAUCGGUUCGAGUAUCUCUCCUUCUCGCCAACCACUCCAGGAUGGUCCCACUUCCGGCUGAUCUCGCUGCUCGUUGCCAUCCUCGCCCUGUCCGGGCUGAUGGUGGGGAUCUCGAUCGGUGUCGGCGUAUUCUUCGGUGGCUUCAAUACGUUCGCCUUCAUGGCGGCUGAGUGUAUCCUGCUGAGCAUACGCACGCUGCACGUGCUAAUACGCUACGGCAUGUUCCUGCACGAUAUGCGCCAGGGCGGUAUCGCGAAUGAGUCUUUCUCAUCCUUUCCAGCAAUCUCCUGGGAUAAGCGUGGCCCGGUCGCGUACUACAUUGAGCUAACGUUCGAGGUGGCCGCCUUGAUGGUGGAGCUCGUGCACUACAUCCACAUGAUGCUCUGGAGCAACAUCUUCCUGUCGAUGGCGAGCUUGGUGAUAUUGAUGCAGUUGCGCUACCUGCUGAACGAGAUCCAGCGCAAGAUCAAGAAGCACCGCAACUACCUGUGGGUGCUGAAUCACAUGGAGAAGAGCUACCCGCUGGCGUCGAGCGAUGAUCUGAAGCAAAACUCGGACAACUGUGCCAUCUGCUGGGAGAAGAUGGAAACGGCUCGCAAGCUACCGUGCGCCCACUUAUUCCACAACUCGUGUCUACAGUCCUGGCUGGAACAGGACACUUCCUGCCCUACCUGCCGUCUCGGGCUGAGCGUGCAUCAGAACGGUGGUCCACGGGGCAGUCCGCUGCUGCCGGAUGACAUCCGCAUCGACGAUCAGGACGGUGCGGUUGGCGGUGGCGGUGGCCGUACGGCCAACAAUCACUUCUUCCACUUCAACGGCUCGCGCUACGUGUCCUGGCUGCCGAACUUUUCCGUCGAAGUGACGCACAUCAACAACAUGCUGCGCCCGUCGGAAACGCUUCCGAUUACGGCGGCCGCUGUGGGUAACCAUACGUCGCAGGUGCGCAACAUGGCCCGCCACGUGCAGGAGAUGUUUCCCCGCUAUCCCCUUUCCGUGCUGAUCGGUGAUCUGCAGAUUUCGCGCUCGAUCGAGGUGACGAUCGAUAACAUACUCGAGGGACGGCUGCAGGUCCCCGCGAACAGUCCCGAGGACGAGGACGAGGAGACGCUGGGAGCGGGAGCAAGUGUUGCCUCGAUGGCCAUGAGCGGAUCGAUGGACGGGGACAACGGCGAUGAUGAUGAUGAGCUGUCGGGCGAGCUUUCGACACGAUCGCUUACGAAUUCGCUGUCUGCGUCGUCCCUGUCGUCGCUGUCCUCGCCGGCCGGGUACGAGGUGGAACGUGGCACUAACAUCUUUGGCAAUUACGAUGCAUUAUUGCGGGACGAUACGGUCGAGGAGAUUUCAUCGGCAACCUCCGUCCCGCUCGGGGAUCGGUUCUCCAAAAGCCCUGAGGAGCGGGAAAAGAUUCUGCAGCGCCGCAAGGAGCAACUGCUAGCGAUGGCUCGAAGAAGAUAUCUGGAAAAGAACAAAUCGGAGCUAAAUCAUCAACCGUCCACGUCUGCGACGGCUUCCACCUCGAGCACUGUUAGGCAUCGAAACAAAAGCUGUAUGGAAACGACAGUGGUCGAAAGCGCUAGCAGCAGCAGCAGCGGCAGCGGCAGCAGUGGAAAUAAUCUGUCAAAGUUAAACCCGUCCUUAUCACCUAGCCACCAUCAGCAGCGGCUUUCUGUGGAACAGCAGCCGCUCGAUGAGGUACAGCAGCUGGAUCAUUCCGACAGCAGCUUUUAAACGGAAACCGGAAGCACUGAUCAUUCGUGUGACCAAAACAAGUAUCUCCCGAUCGGUGUAUUAGGUGUGUGUGUGUGCGUGUGGAUGGGUGUGUCCUACUCACGAUGGCGCCACAAAGCUCCGUUUAAGAAAAAGAAAGAAGAACUGUUCCUUGUUGCCGGCGGUGCUGUGAAGAUUUUAAGUUUCAAUUUUAUUACUUUUUUUUAUAAAGGCAAACCCCUUCUAGACGACUUUUCUCGCUGAUCGUAUAUUUUAGCUUAAAUCUUUCUUAUCGUAACGUACCGUAGCCUUAGUUGUUUAGUUUUUUGAAGAUAUUAGUCAGUCAGUGUGUGUCAGUCAUGUGAGGGGAGAAGGCCGAGUGGAAAUGCAAAAUUAGUAACAAAAGAAGCGAUCAUGGAGCAUGAAGAGAUAUAUCAUGUGUGUCAUUUUCGGGAUAAGUGUAGUGGUGUUGUACACCGAGCUGGCUUGGCUUUCGAUGAAGAUCAGCUCUGUUAAUUUAGGCAAACUGAAGACGGAAGACGGUCGAACAAACUGUCGGAAGGAUCAGUUUAGAUCGAAGUGGCCAAAUCGAUCAGUGACGGAGGAAACAAACAAAACCAAUCAAUCGAUUAAGGAAAAAAGGGGUGCAAACGCUAAAACAACAAAUCAUACUGUAGUAGUAGUCGUCGGGGUAGCUUCCUUCCUUCUCCUCCGAAACACGCUUGAUAAGGUGUAAAAAGCGAGAGAGUGACAGAGAGUGACCGAAACAGAGGGGAAACAUUUGGUAUUAAUGUGUUGAAGCUGCAGCUAAUGAGAUAGAGGGUGAAAUCAGUAGGACGAGGAGACGGAUUUCGUUCGCUAUAAUCGCAUCAUCGUAACGCGCAGUACGACGGAGUAUGCAGUAGUCAAAAUUGGCAAGUAAAAAACACACACACUUUUAGCGACAAGAAAGACUCAAACCAACAAAAACAAAGCAGAAUAAUAAUAAGCAAAAAUGCAAACACAAUAAAGAGUAAUGUUCGUUGUUAUUUCGUUUUAA